GAAGCGAAAGCAAGUCUGAAUAGGGCGUAUAGUCAGUGGGGGUAGACGCGAAACCUUGUGAUCUACACAUUUGCAGGAUGAAGUGACGGUAACACGUCAUGGAGGUCCGAACCGGUAAGCGUUGAAAAGCUUUCGGAUGACAUGUGUGUAGGGGUGAAAGGCUAAAUCAAACUGGGAAAUAGCUCGUACUCCCCGAAAUGUCUUUAGGGACAGCGUCAAAUGAAUUGUCAUAGAGGUAGAGCUACUAAUAGGGCUAGGGGGAGUCAAAUCCUACCAAACCCUGAUAAACUCCGAAUGCUAAUGACAAAUAUUUGGCAGUGAGGCCUGGGGUGCUAACGUCACAGGCCGAGAGGGAAAGAACCCAGACCAUCAGCUAAGGUCCCAAAAUCUAUGUUAAGUUGGUUAAACGUGGUCAGAUUGCAUUGACAGCUAGGAUGUUGGCUUGGAAGCAGCCAUUCAUUUAAAGAGUGCGUAACAGCUCACUAGUCGAGCGAUCUGGCGUGGAUAAUAAGCGGG
rnacentral:rRNA from 1 species